rnacentral:lncRNA from 1 species
UGGUUUGUGCCCAAAUGAAUUGCAGUCUUGGCAGAAUAUAGGUUUCCAUUCAAAUUCCACUGUUUGCAUCCAGCUUCUCCCAUUAGGUAUUUCAAUAUACACUUCAUCAGGUAGGGGUUGGGUUAUAUCCAUUUCCACUAGGAUUCUAGCAUAAGAAAUCCUUUCACAAUCAGCAGUAAUUCAGGUAGGGAUUGGGUUAUAUCCAUUUCCACUAGGAUUCUAGCAUAAGAAAUCCUUUCACAAUCAGCAGUAAGCCUAUAAGUGCAUAA